rnacentral:rRNA from 1 species
ACAUGCAAGUCGAACGGUGAUGUCAGAGCUUGCUCUGGCGGAUCAGUGGCGAACGGGUGAGUAACACGUGAGUAACCUGCCCCCGACUCUGGGAUAACUGCUAGAAAUGGUAGCUAAUACCGGAUAUGACGACUGGCCGCAUGGUCUGGUCGUGGAAAGAAUUUCGGUUGGGGAUGGACUCGCGGCCUAUCAGGUUGUUGGUGAGGUAAUGGCUCACCAAGCCUACGACGGGUAGCCGGCCUGAGAGGGUGACCGGCCACACUGGGACUGAGACACGGCCCAGACUCCUACGGGAGGCAGCAGUGGGGAAUAUUGCACAAUGGGCGAAAGCCUGAUGCAGCAACGCCGCGUGAGGGAUGACGGCCUUCGGGUUGUAAACCUCUUUUAGUAGGGAAGAAGCGAAAGUGACGGUACCUGCAGAAAAAGCACCGGCUAACUACGUGCCAGCAGCCGCGGUAAUACGUAGGGUGCAAGCGUUGUCCGGAAUUAUUGGGCGUAAAGAGCUCGUAGGCGGUUUGUCGCGUCUGCUGUGAAAUCCCGAGGCUCAACCUCGGGUCUGCAGUGGGUACGGGCAGACUAGAGUGCGGUAGGGGAGAUUGGAAUUCCUGGUGUAGCGGUGGAAUGCGCAGAUAUCAGGAGGAACACCGAUGGCGAAGGCAGAUCUCUGGGCCGUAACUGACGCUGAGGAGCGAAAGCAUGGGGAGCGAACAGGAUUAGAUACCCUGGUAGUCCAUGCCGUAAACGUUGGGAACUAGAUGUGGGGACCAUUCCACGGUCUCCGUGUCGCAGCUAACGCAUUAAGUUCCCCGCCUGGGGAGUACGGCCGCAAGGCUAAAACUCAAGGAAUUGACGGGGGCUCGCACAGCGGCGGAGCAUGCGAAUUAAUUCGAUGCACGCGAAGAACCUUACCAAGCUUGGACAUAUACCGAAACAAUGCAAGAUGUGUGCCCCGCAGGUCGGUAUCAC